UGUGUGUGUGUGUGUGUGUGUGUGUGAGAUACACACACACUCGUGGCAUCUCUGGGGGGCAAAUGAAUGGUUGCUCUCUAAAACUAUGUCAUGCUAAAAUAUGACUAAUGUGUUUUGUUGUAGAUGCCGCGUCCAAGCAAGCAGUCCAAGGCAGCCAAGCGGCGCUGUGCUGAAAGAGGGCUGACUGCAGUAGACCUGGGGUCUGCUGCCGAGGUCGCGCUUCCUCGUAAAAUUAAAGUUGCCAAGAUCUGUGCUGAUGGGGUCGUUUCAUCAAGAUGAUUUACAGUUCGGAAAGGAUCGCAACAAGCAAUGUGGUGCCAUCAGUCUGACUGCAGUUCUGAAGUCCAAUCUGAGUGACGUGUGGACCUGGACGAGCAGAGAUCUCGAUGAUGUUUUGAUUAAGGGAACUGUACUUUACAGAUCAAUGAAUGCACAGCGUCUAAUAAGAGACCAAGAAAGAGAACGGUUUGGCGGAAGUACACCCCGAUUUGAGGCAACAGGUGUGAAAGCUGCAAUAAUCCAUGUCGACCCUGACAACGCCAACUACAGUACAAUGCAUUUGUUACAGCUCGUCUUUGACCUUGACAAACAUCCUGGGAGGAAACUCAUCAUGGGAGACUUCAAUGAGGAUAUCUUUGUGUCGUCUACCAUUGCCAAGUUACUGGAACAGCAUGGGUACAGUCAACACGUGCACACAGCCACAACUGAAAAAGCAGUACCAAUAUCCUGCUGAUGGAGAAAUACCUGGAAAAAAGCGUGUUGCUGCUCAUCUACCUUUUUCAUCGUUGAGGCCUGAUCAAACUCAUCUAUUUUCACCUGUGGUGCAGACCUUCAGUAACAGAUUCCACCUGUUGCAGCUUGCUCGAGCUCAUCCAUCUUCACCUGUAUCCCAAACUUCCAAGACCAAUCCGAACUACAAAAUCCACUGCUGCUAGAAGUUUGACUGUCCAUGAUGGUCUUGUGAGAUCACUUUCCUUAAUUUUUUAAAGCGUGUUACGGUGACUGGACUGGAUGCCUGGACUCUCCUCAUGGUUAACUGGCCAGCACCACAUCACCGUGUUAUAAAAUGAUUAAUCAUUUUAUGAUUAAUCGUUUUUUGUUUUAUAUCUGUUUUGUUUGUUUUUUAGCACUUUGGUGACCAAUUUAAUAUGAUGUGCAUGUGUUUACCUGUAUGUCAAUUAUGGCACCCACUCCUGACCAUCCCUGGAAGAAGGGAUCCCCUACUAUGCGUUUCUUCUCAAGAUUUCUUCCUUGCUAAUUUCAAGGGAGUUUUUUCUUGCCCUUGUGGGGGCUUGGGUAAAGGGGGGUGUCAUAAAUAUUUUACCUGUUAAGCCCUUUGUAAUGGUGAUUAAGGGCUAUACAAAUAAACUUGAAUUGAUUCCAUUAGUUUGUAUACUAUUUACGAUAUCAUGUCACAAGAUGGAUAAGACAACAUAACAAUGUUGUAUAUAUGCAUUAAGAGUAUUAAAAGUAGGUGGUGUGUGUGUUUAUUACUACCUUUUAUCAGUAGUUGCACUAUGGUUAGCACUAUGGGUGAUGUGGAAAAUACUGAAUCAUACCUCAAGUAUGAUUCAGUAUUUUCCACAUCACCCAUCAUCACUUAUAUGAUUAAACCCUGAGUACUUGCUUGUUUAUUUAGAUUGGCUUAACAGAAACGAUGCUGCCUAUCUCUUAGUAUUGACCACAAUAAUUUAACUUCAUGAUUUUUCCUACCAUUGACUGACUGGGUCUUAAUUAAUCAGUGGUACAAUCCCAAUUACAAUCAGGAUGAAGUGAACAUACUCUGAAUGCUAUGCUCUUACUCAAAUAAAUGUUGACACAGAUUCUGUAAUGGUGUCUUGAAGAGGAGUUGUGCGCACAUC
ensembl:lncRNA